GAGCACGUAGGUGGGUUUGUAAGUCGGUUGUGAAAGCCUUCCGCUUAACGGAAGAACGGCAUCCGAUACUGCAUAGCUUGAGUGCGGGAGGGGGGAGUGGAACUUCUGGUGGAGCGGUGAAAUGCGUAGAUAUCAGAAGGAACACCGGCGGCGAAGGCGACUCUCUGGUCCGUAACUGACGCUGAGUGUGCGAAAGCUAGGGGAGCAAACGGGAUUAGAUACCCCGGUAGUCCUAGCCGUAAACGAUGGGCACUAAGUAGAGGGGUUUU
rnacentral:rRNA from 1 species